UCUAAGGAGAACUCAGUCACCUAAGACGUGACUGUAAAAAUCCUAGGUCAGACUUCGGUGUUGGGAUGGGAGUCACGUUGUUUAAUUUAGAGGGCGCACGCCGUGAAAGCGGAAGCGGCGAACCCGACGGGCCCAUAGCUCAGCUGGCUAGAGCGCACGACUGAUAAUCGUGAGGUCGGUGGUUCGAGUCCACUUGGGCCCACCACCAGCUUAACGGUACGGGGGUUUAGCUCAGCUGGUAGAGCACCUGCUUUGCAAGCAGGGGGUCACCGGUUCGAAUCCGAUAACCUCCACCACGAGAUUGGAUUGAAGUGUUUGGACAAUAGUCUGAGCAUUUCAACCUGACCUUGAAGAAGGUUGGAGCUGCACCUUGAAAACUGAACAGUGAAGCAAGCAAGAAAUUGCGAGCAAGCAACAGAGAGGUAACAAAGUUUUUUGUGGAAUCUAUAAAAGGGUAACACAAUACUACAAUGAACCGAAUCUGAGGCCUGCAUAAUUCUUGUGAGAACCAAUAUCUCGAAAGAGAUGAUAGGUCAAGCUAUAAAGAGCGCAAGGGGAAUGCCUUGGCAUCAAGAGCCGAAGAAGGUCGUGACAAGCUGCGAUAAGCCGUGGGGAGCUGCACAUAAGCGUUAUAUCCACGGAUCAC
rnacentral:misc_RNA from 1 species